GCGGACAGAUGGGAGCUUGCUCCCUGAUGUUAGCGGCGGACGGGUGAGUAACACGUGGGUAACCUGCCUGUAAGACUGGGAUAACUCCGGGAAACCGGGGCUAAUACCGGAUGCUUGUUUGAACCGCAUGGUUCAAACAUAAAAGGUGGCUUCGGCUACCACUUACAGAUGGACCCGCGGCGCAUUAGCUAGUUGGUGAGGUAAUGGCUCACCAAGGCAACGAUGCGUAGCCGACCUGAGAGGGUGAUCGGCCAUACUGGGACUGAGACACGGCCCAGACUCCUACGGGAGGCAGCAGUAGGGAAUCUUCCGCAAUGGACGAAAGUCUGACGGAGCAACGCCGCGUGAGUGAUGAAGGUUUUCGGAUCGUAAAGCUCUGUUGUUAGGGAAGAACAAGUACCGUUCGAAUAGGGCGGUACCUUGACGGUACCUAACCAGAAAGCCACGGCUAACUACGUGCCAGCAGCCGCGGUAAUACGUAGGUGGCAAGCGUUGUCCGGAAUUAUUGGGCGUAAAGGGCUCGCAGGCGGUUUCUUAAGUCUGAUGUGAAAGCCCCCGGCUCAACCGGGGAGGGUCAUUGGAAACUGGGGAACUUGAGUGCAGAAGAGGAGAGUGGAAUUCCACGUGUAGCGGUGAAAUGCGUAGAGAUGUGGAGGAACACCAGUGGCGAAGGCGACUCUCUGGUCUGUAACUGACGCUGAGGAGCGAAAGCGUGGGGAGCGAACAGGAUU
rnacentral:rRNA from 1 species